rnacentral:rRNA from 1 species
UACCGGGCCAGCAUCGGUUUGGAGCGGUAGGAUAAAUGGCGGGGGAAUGUGGCACGACUUUGGUUGUGUGUUAUAGCCUCUGACGAUACUGCCAGCCUAGACCGAGGACUGCGGUUUUUACCUAGGAUGUUGGCAUAAUGAUCUUAAGUCGCCCGUCUUGAAACACGGACCAAGGAGUCCCCCCCGUGCCCCCGCCCCG